rnacentral:rRNA from 1 species
CAGUAGCCGCGGGAAUACGGAGGGUGCAAGCGUUAAUCGGAAUUACUGGGCGCAAAGCGCACGCAGGCGGUCUGUCAAGUCAGAUGUGAAAUCCCCGGGCUUAACCUGGGAACUGCAUUUGAAACUGGCAGGCUAGAGUCUUGUAGAGGGGGGUAGAAUUCCAGGUGUAGCGGUGAAAUGCGUAGAGAUCUGGAGGAAUACCGGUGGCGAAGGCGGCCCCCUGGACAAAGACUGACGCUCAGGUGCGAAAGCGUGGGGAGCAAACAGGAUUAGAUACCCCGGUAGUCCCUGUCUCUUAUAA